CCUUGGCUCCUAGCACGUGUCCACGUCUACCUCAGCUUCGUCGCUGCUCCCUUCUCGACACGGCAAAGGAGGGGGAGAAGGAGGUGGCGCGUGGAAGCCUUCAACUGGAAAUUAACAAAAUGUCUAGUUAGAAGAAACGAACCUUUUUAUUAUCUUAUUCAUAAUCAGACCGUACUCUGAACAUAAAGGGUAUGCGAUCCUAGGACAUGAAGCACAACCAUCUAGCUAAUAGAAACACUCAGCAUAAGCUGAAGUAAUUCUGUAAUAGUACUUACAUAUUGCUCCAGCCGUAUAUCUGCAACCUUACAACUACAUAUAUCCAUCUCCUCAAGCACCAUAGUUGACCAUUAUUGGCGCUUCACUGCUCCUGGCAACUUGAUGCUAAUUCGUAGAAACAGUGUUUGGUCUUAUUUUGUAAUUGAAAGUUAUAUCAUCAGAAUAUGCAGCUCUGAGCCUCCCAACACCUCUCUAGAACAAUGAAGGUUUUUUUCUUGCAUUAUUCUUAGUUUGAAUGUAACAAAAUAAUCAAAGAAUGGAACAUCCAACAAUGAUUUAAACAUCGAUUUUGUGUGAGGUUUCCAUGUGAAAAUAAUUUUGUUAUCUAGACAAAGAAUAUGGCAUGUCUAAAAAUGGUCCACCCGUACUGUAAAUUUGUAAUAGCCUACUUGUUAGCCUAAUAUCUAUAUCGAGUUAUAGAUAAAGGAAGAUAUACUGACUGAUGCAAUAGAUGUACCUAGAACUUCUUCCCAUGCGGUUGAUGUAGGCAUUAGUACAGAAGUUAGGCCAGUACUGUGGUAGUGGUUCCUAUUUGAUCCGUGAAAAAUCUGCAGCCCUUACUUUCAACUCUGAGGUUGGUACUUUGAUGCAAUUCCUGAGAAAUUAAAAGAUGGAAAUACCGUAAAAAGCUGCUCAAAGAAGCUUAUGCCGUAGUUUAUACAGACAACCAUAUCGAUCUGAUGAAAAAAUAGGAUUCGAUAAAUCUAGAAUAUCUUGCUUCAUCGAUAAUCAAAUUAAAGUUCAAAUGGCACAAGAGAUUGUUGAGGCCCCAUUUGCCAAUGCAACCUGAAAGGCAGAAAAGAUGAAUUAGGAG
rnacentral:lncRNA from 1 species